rnacentral:tRNA from 4 species
AGCCCCGUCGUCUAGCGGCCAAGGAUGCGGGCCUUUGGAGCCCGCGACGUGGGUUCAAAUCCCACCGGGGCUA